rnacentral:misc_RNA from 1 species
ACUAAUUUGCAUAAAUAUAUGCAAAAAAUGACCUGCCAUAGAGUGGACUAUGCAUGAUAAUUGACCCAUGUAGCAAUGUAGAAAGUUCAAUGGAUUGAUACUUGAUAGCCUCCAAUGAAGGUCAUUUAUGACAGUGUUUUGAGUUUAAAGAUAUUACCAGUAAAAAAUUGUCAGAUUUUUAGAUAACAUAAGUUCAUAACACAACACUUUUAGAUGACAGGUCAUUGCAACUUUUUCCCAACAUGCAAUGUCAACAACCAUAUGGGUUUUAGUUUAUUGGCCAUUUAGAGAUCACUAUGGAUAUGAAAGGGAGAAAAGAAAACUUAUAAAAUUAGAAAAAUGUCUUGCCUAAAUGUUUGAACCCAUCAACAUUGCCAAGAAACCACUCAACCUAAAAGCUUAAACUUAGUAGGUCUGUGCUUGUUCACACUUUAAGCCUAGUGAGCUUUCGCUUGUGGUGGUGUAAUAGAGAGAUAUAUAACUAUUCUUAGAAUUCUCAUUUAAAAGCUUAAACUUUUAGGAUGAGUGGUUUCUUGAUAAUAGUAAUUAAAAAAAAUAAAGAAAUAUUCUGAAUAGAGUUUCAGUUUUUAUGGUAUUGAUUCAUAUUAUAUUCUGACGGAUAUAAUUCUGUAAUUCAAUCUGAUUCUUACUUUUUUACACUAUGUUUGGAUAGGUGAAAAAGGGAGAGGAAGGAAAAUAAGUAGGAGAAAAUAAUUUUGAAAAGACAUUUUUUUUUUGUUUGGAUAAGAGAAGGCCAAUAAAGGAGGG